rnacentral:rRNA from 1 species
GAUGAACGCUGGCGGCGUGCUUAAUACAUGCAAGUCGAGCGAACGGACGAGAAGCUUGCUUCUCUGAUGUUAGCGGCGGACGGGUGAGUAACACGUGGAUAACCUACCUAUAAGACUGGGAUACCUGCGGGAAACCGGAGCUAAUACCGGAUAAUAUUUUGAACCGCAUGGUUCAAAAGUGAAAGACGGUCUUGCUGUCACUUAUAGAUGGAUCCGCGCUGCAUUAGCUAGUUGGUAAGGUAACGGCUUACCAAGGCAACGAUGCAUAGCCGACCUGAGAGGGUGAUCGGCCACACUGGAACUGAGACACGGUCCAGACUCCUACGGGAGGCAGCAGUAGGGAAUCUUCCGCAAUGGGCGAAAGCCUGACGGAGCAACGCCGCGUGAGUGAUGAAGGUCUUCGGAUCGUAAAACUCUGUUAUUAGGGAAGAACAUAUGUGUAAGUAACUGUGCACAUCUUGACGGUACCUAAUCAGAAAGCCACGGCUAACUACGUG